UUCAAUAUGAAAAUUGGAUAAGUUUGUGAUUAAAAUCACACCUGUAACAGUUGCGUUAUUAUUCUUUAUAAUGAAAAAAAUGGAAUACAAUAAGAUAGGGGCAUUGAAAAGAUUUUCUACGGUUUUAGUAUUUUUCGCCCACCAUCAAUGCCACAACACUCGAUGACAUCAGGACAACAGCUGGGAGGGGGUACAAAAGCUGUGGUGAAUGUCAUGAUGGCCAUGACUACCAUGAUCACUAACACCAACUGCGCUACAUAUUUCAUUUUUCCUUCCUUCUCUAUAAUAAGAUCUUUUAUAACAAAGUAAUGAUGUAUUUCUCUUUUG
rnacentral:lncRNA from 1 species